rnacentral:misc_RNA from 1 species
GUAGGUGAACCUGCGGAAGGAUCAUUACCAAAUCCAAAACUUUAUCAACACCAAAAAAGUGAACUGAGAAUGGUUUCGUUCCCCUCUGUGCAGCCUGCUGUGUGCGUAUCAUGUGUUUCCACAUGAUGCGUGUACUUGGCGGCACGAAGGGGGAUGUUAUUUUUUCAACCCCUUUUCAACCCCUUACAAACUUUUAUGCUGAAAGCAAAACAAAAACGAAACAUGAGACAACUUUUAACGGUGGAUCUCUUGGCUCGU